GGACGGGUGAGUAACGCGUGGGUAACCUGCCCUAUACACACGGAUAACAUACCGAAAGGUAUGCUAAUACGAGAUAAUAUAAGAGAUUCACAUGGAUUUCUUAUCAAAGCUGAGGCGGUAUAGGAUGGACCCGCGUCUGAUUAGCUAGUUGGUAAGGUAACGGCUUACCAAGGCGACGAUCAGUAGCCGACCUGAGAGGGUGAUCGGCCACAUUGGAACUGAGACACGGUCCAAACUCCUACGGGAGGCAGCAGUGGGGAAUAUUGCACAAUGGGCGAAAGCCUGAUGCAGCAGCGCCGCGUGAGUGAUGAAGGCCUUCGGGUCGUAAAACUCUGUCCUCAGGGAAGAUAAUGACGGUACUUGAGGAGGAAGCCCCGGCUAACUACGUGCCAGCAGCCGCGGUAAUACGUAGGGGGCUAGCGUUAUCCGGAUUUACUGGGCGUAAAGGGUGCGUAGGUGGUCUCUUAAGUCAGGAGUGAAAGGCUACGGCUUAACCGUAGUAAGCUCUUGAAACUGGGAGACUUGAGUGCAGGAGAGGAAAGUGGAAUUCCUA
rnacentral:rRNA from 1 species